rnacentral:rRNA from 1 species
UACGUAGGUGACGAGCGUUGUCCGGAUUUACUGGGCGUAAAGCGCACGCAGGCGGUGCUGCGCGUUUGGGGUUACAGCUCCCGGCUCAACCGGGAGAGCGCCUCGAAGACGGCAGCACUUAAGGGCCAGAGAGGGACACGGAACUCCGGGUGGAGUGGUGAGAUGCGUAGAUAUCCGGAAGAACACCAAAGGCGAAGGCAGUGUCCUGGCUGGUACCUGACGCUCAGGUGCGAAAGCUAGGGGAGCGAACGGG